rnacentral:rRNA from 1 species
UACGAAGGGGGCUAGCGUUGCUCGGAAUUACUGGGCGUAAAGGGCGCGUAGGCGGAUGUCUAAGUUGGGGGUGAAAUCCCGGGGCUCAACCUCGGAACCGCCUUCAAUACUGGAUAUCUUGAGUUCGGGAGAGGUGAGUGGAAUGCCGAGUGUAGAGGUGAAAUUCGUAGAUAUUCGGAAGAACACCAGUGGCGAAGGCGACUUACUGGACACAUAUUGACGCUGAGGUGCGAAAGCGUGGGGAGCAAACAGG